rnacentral:tRNA from 1 species
GGAUCUGUAGCUCAGUUGGUUAGAGCGCUUCGUUUACAUCGAAGAGGUCUUGGGUUCGAAUCCCGACAGAUCCA